rnacentral:rRNA from 1 species
UACGUAGGGUCCGAGCGUUGUCCGGAAUUAUUGGGCGUAAAGGGCUCGUAGGCGGUUUGUCGCGUCGGGAGUGAAAACACGGGGCUUAACCCCGUGCCUGCUUCCGAUACGGGCAGACUAGAGUUCGGUAGGGGAGACUGGAAUUCCUGGUGUAGCGGUGAAAUGCGCAGAUAUCAGGAGGAACACCGGUGGCGAAGGCGGGUCUCUGGGCCGAAACUGACGCUGAGGAGCGAAAGCGUGGGGAGCAAACAGG